CAAUAAGCGGAGGAAAAGAAACCAACAGGGAUUGCCCUAGUAACGGCGAGUGAAGCGGCAACAGCUCAAAUUUGAAAUCUGGCCUCGGCCCGAGUUGUAAUUUGCAGAGGAUGCUUCUGGCGCGGUGCCUUCCGAGUUCCCUGGAACGGGACGCCACAGAGGGUGAGAGCCCCGUAUGGUCGGACACCAAGCCUGUGUGAAGCUCCUUCGACGAGUCGAGUAGUUUGGGAAUGCUGCUCUAAAUGGGAGGUAAAUCUCUUCUAAAGCUAAAUACCGGCCAGAGACCGAUAGCGCACAAGUAGAGUGAUCGAAAGAUGAAAAGCACCUUGAAAAGGGGGUUAAAUAGUACGUGAAAUUGUUGAAAGGGAAGCACUUAUGACCAGACUUGGGCCGGGCGGCUCAUCAGGGGUUCUCCCCUGUGCACUCCGCCCGGCACAGGCCAGCAUCGGUUCUCGUGGGGGGAUAAGACCGUCAGGAACGUAGCACUCUCCGGAGUGUGUUAUAGCCUGGCGGACGAUACCCCCGUGGGGACCGAGGUCCGCGCAUUGCAAGGAUGCUGGCGUAAUGGUCAUCAGUGACCCGUCUUGAAACACGGACCAAGGAGUCGUCCAUUAGAGCGAGCGUUUGGGUGUAAAACCCGCACGCGUAAUGAAAGUGAACGCAGGUGAGAGCUUCGGCGCAUCAUCGACCGAUCCUGAUGUUCUCGGAAGGAUUUGAGUAAGAGUUUUAACGGACGGACCCGAAAGACAGUGAACUAUGCUUGAAUAGGGUGAAGCCAGAGGAAACUCUGGUGGAGGCUCGCAGCGGUUCUGACGUGCAAAUCGAUCGUCAAAUUUGAGCAUGGGGGCGAAAGACUAAUCGAACUGUCUAGUAGCUGGUUACCGCCGA
rnacentral:rRNA from 1 species